rnacentral:sRNA from 1 species
GCUGGGUGUGGUGGCCCAUGCCUGUAAUCCCAACACUUUGGGAGGCUGAGGCAGGUGGAUCACUUGAGGUCAGGAGUUCGAGACUAGCCUGACCAACAUGGUGAAACCCCGUCUCUA